rnacentral:rRNA from 1 species
UCAAGCUACAAAGAGCACAAGGGGAAUGCCUUGGCACCGAGAGCCGAUGAAGGACGUGACUAACUGCGAUAAGCUACGGGGAGCUGUAAGUGAGCGUUAUAUCCGUAGAUUUCCGAAUGGAGCAAUCCGAUUAGAGGAAAGUCUAAUCAUCAUAUACUGAAUACAUAGGUAUAUGAGGGGAACCGCCUGAACUGAAACAUCUAAGUAGGGCGAGGAAGAAAAAUCAACUGAGAUUCCGUAAGUAGUGGCGAGCGAACGCGGAAGAGGCCAAACCUAAUGUAGUAAUAUGUUAGGGGUUCGGACAGUAUAAUGAAUUGUCGAGAUUUAGCCGAAUGUCAUGGGAAGGGCAAUCAAAGAUGGUGAAAAUCCAGUAGGCGAAAAGUUAAGACAUCAGACUGUAUCCAGAGUACCGCCGGACACGUGAAACCCGGUGGGAAUACGGGGGGACCAUCCUCCAAGCCUAAAUACUACUCGGUGACCGAUAGAGAAGAAGUACUGUGAAGGAAAGGUGAAAAGCACCCCGGAAGGGGAGUGAAAGAGAACCUGAAACCUUGUGUUUACAAGCACCGAAAGUUCAUCAACGAACGAUCGGGUACCUUUUGUAGAAUGGUCCGGCGAGUGAAUGUAACUGGCAAGGUUAAGCACUUAAGGUGUGAAGCCGUAGCGAGAGCGAGUCUGAAAAGGGCGCAUGAAGUCAGUUGUAUUCGACCCGAAACCGGGUGACCUACCCAUGUCCAGGCUGAAGUGCAGGUAAAACUUCAUGGAGGGCCGAACCGACUCCCGUUGAAAUGGUAGCGGAUGAGGUGUGGGUAGCGGAGAAAUUCCAAUCGAACCCGGAGAUAGCUGGUUCUCUCCGAAAUAGCUUUAGGGCUAGCCUUGGAAUAGAUUACUGGAGGUAAAGCACUGAAUUGGCUAGGGGCCGAGAGGUUACUGAACCUUAUCAAACUAAGAAUGCCAGAUAAUCGUUUUCCAGGAGUCAGACAGUGGGAGAUAAGUUUCAUUGUCAAAAGGGAAACAGCCCAGACCUACAGCUAAGGUCCCAAAGUAUAGUUAAGUGGAAAAGGAUGUGGAAUUGCAUAGACAACCAGGAUGUUGGCUUAGAAGCAGCCACUCAUUAAAAGAGUGCGUAAUAGCUCACUGGUCGAGUGAUUCUGCGCCGAAAAUUUAACGGGGCUAAACUAUACACCGAAGCUUAGGAUACCGCAAGGUAUGGUAGGAGAGCGUUCUGUACGGAGUGAAGUCGUAGCGAAAGCGGCGGUGGACUGUACAGAAGUGAGAAUGCCGGAAUAAGUAGCGAGAAUUAAGUGAGAAUCUUAAUGGCCGAAAGUCUAAGGUUUUUGGAGGAAGGUUCGUCCGCUCCAAGUAAGUCGGGAGCUAAGGUCAGGCCGAAAGGCGUAGCCGAUGCACAAACGGUUGAUAUUCCGUUACCGUCUACAAUUUAAACAAAGGGACACAUACAAAGCGUUUAACCCGGGCGAUGGUUGACCCGGGCGCAAGGGACUGAAAUAAGAGUAGGGAAGUAAAUGUGGCGUAUGGCGAGAAAAGCUUUGUGAAUAGAAGUAGACGCCCGUACCGCAAACCGACACAGGUGGACAGGAAGAGAAUUCUAAGGCCAGCGGGAGAAGGGUAGUUAAGGAACUCGGCAAAUUGACUCCGUAACUUCGGAAUAAGGAGUGCUCGAAAGAGCCGCAGAGAAUAGGCCCAGGCGACUGUUUAGCAAAAACACAGGUCUCUGCCAAAUCGAAAGAUGAAGUAUAGGGGCUGACACCUGCCCGGUGCCGGAAGGUUAAGAGGAGGAGUGCAAGCUCCGAAUUGAAGCCCCGGUAAACGGCGGCCGUAACUAUAACGGUCCUAAGGUAGCGAAAUUCCUUGUCGGGUAAGUUCCGACCCGCACGAA